AACCAUCCCCUCCCUGAAAAGACAGUGACACCAGCAUCCUGAUGUGUGGUCAAUCACGGUGUGUGUCCUGGUUGUUCUGAGCUCUCAAAGAAUGACUGGGACCCCUGCCUGGCCUCACAGCCCAUCUCCUCUCCCCUCCACCUCAGGCCGCCACUUCAGAGCCUGGACCGCCCCAGAGUGGAUCUGCCCCCCGCCCCCACUCCAGGAAGCUCUGGCUGGGAUGCUCAGGGCUGGGGCACCCAGGGGUCAGCAGAAGCCAAUUCCUCCAUUCAGAUGCCGUUGUUUCUUCUCACGUCUUUGUCGCCUUGCCACUGGCCGCAGUCCUCUCAGCCAGCCCACCAGCCCAGCCCCCUACCCAACGGCUGGUGGGGUUCCCCUCCCUGACGGUCCCCUUCGUGCACGGCCUGCCAUUCAAGUUCUACUGGUCUCCCCUGAGUCCAGAGCCUGGCAUGGGACAGGGGUGGGGCCCCUCUGCCCAGCUCAGCCAUCAGCCACCAGCCCCCUGCAACCUGCCUUUCACCCUGCUCCUCUCCUGCCCACGCCCCUCACUUGCCCUCCACCUCCUCACCCUGUCCCUGCUCUCCCGCCCCCCUAACAGUCUCCCUGCUCUCAGUCUGGCCCCUCACCUCCCCCGCCCCCUCCCCAUUUCCUCUCCCCUCCUCUACUGGCCCUUUAGUCCCUGGGUGUCAGGCUUUAUCUCUCGGCGGCCGGCAGGCUCGUUGUUCUCCCCUCCCCUCUCCUCUUCUCUCUCAUCCUCUCCCUUCUCUCUUCCCCCUCCAGCCUCCACUCCUUCGCCCGCUCACUCACCCUCUCCCUCUCCCGCUGCCCCCCCUUUCUCCCCCACCUCUUUGUUUCAGCUGAGAACCAGCUCCUCGGGACAGUUCCCACACUGCAGUGCCUCUGGUGAGGAGACAGCGCCACUGAGGCCUCCUCUGAACUCCCAAAAUGUGACCUAUGCCAUCACCGAGGCCGCAGGAACAAGAGGUGGGUGUCCAUGACAUUGGUACCUGUCAUCCCUGUGUGCAGCAGGUGUGCCCCACCCUGGAGGCGGCAGAAGAAGGCUUUCACAUCCCCGGCACAUGUGGGCCUGGCUCCACCAACCCAAGGCUGCCUGGGGAAGAAGGGACUCAUACCUGGGCAGGGUAGGCGGCCUGAGCCAGCCCCCCACCCUUGAGCUGGGACAGGGCCUUCCGAAUGGUGUUCAACUCCUGGAUGGUGGCUCCACGGGCUGCCAGCAGUCUGUCUUGGGCCAAUGUGGUACCACACCUGAGAUCAGCACGAGCAGCAGGUCAUCAGCUGUGAGUCCCUCGGCCAGUUGCCGGAUGGCCAGCGCAGCCCGCAGUGCAUCGCGGUCCGGGAGGUUGUCCUCCGCACCCUCGAAUACCUGGACAUGGCUAUGUGGCUUCAGCAGCAUCUCCCUGGGGAGGGAAAGGUCAGAGAGCAAGAGAUGGGGUGGACUCCUCUCCUCCCACCUGAUCUCUCAACUUUACAGGUUUCCCUCCAGAUAGACAGCAGGAGGCAGCCCCCCAUGGCUCCUUACUGCUUGCCGGCGCGCUCCAUGGCAGCACGGAUCCCCUUGGGAACGCUGAUCACACCCUGCACAAGAUGCUGGCCCAGUAGUUCCUCAGCUGCAGCUGCCAUGCCCAGCACAGCCUUGCCAAAGCCCACCAGGUAGAGGUUUUGCCUCAGCUGAAAGUUCCGGUCCCGCACCUUCAGCUGUCUGCCACCAGGGUCCAAGGAUAGUGCCCGGUGCAGCAUGGGGCCCGGCAGCACUGCACCUAUAGCACUCUCAAACAGCUGCCUGGCCUGCUCUGCCAAGGCCAUGCUGCUGGCCAGACGGGCCACUGAGCCCCGCCAGAGGAGUGGAUGCAAGGGGGCUCGGGCCAAGCGGGGCAGGACCUGCAGGGCUGCAGCCAUGCCCCACUGCUCUCAGCACUGCCUGGCACCCAUGGCUGCCUAGAGGGAAAAAGCACAACUGAGGCCCUUGCAAGGCAAAAGACAGGAGGUCCCCCACGGCCACCCCUCUGAGGGCUCAGGGCCAGUGGACCCCACAGCUGCUGCUACAAGAAGGAGCCAUCUGAUAGCCCCAGGAGACCUCCUGAAGCCCACAGCUGCAGGAUCUCACUCGUCCUUGGAGACCAGCCCUGCCACCCAGCCAUGUCCUCCUCUUCUGCAGACCACAUGCCGGCCCUCUCGAUACUCUGCCUCAAGUCCAAAGUUCCUAUUAGCUGGGCCCUCCUCCUAGGUCACCCCUUUGGCUGGGAGUUAAUCAUUGACAGAGGGAGUAAUUUCUACCAGUGGGCUCCUAUCCCACCCCUUUUCCACCCCCUGCACUUCUGAGCUCUUACCCAGGGGCAACACCCCUUUCUGGCACUCCUUCCUUGCCUCUUUACCACCUCUGCUGCCAGGAAGCUGUUGAUUGUCCCACCAACUGACCCUGAGCCCAUUGACCUCCAGCCUUCUCUAUUUCAUUAUCUCAUCAGACCGGGAUUAGCAGCCUGGGAAGUUGGGGUCUACAGGAGGCUGCAGGUUUAUCAAGUCAAGCCCAGAACACAUCCUCAGGGCAAGCAAUCUGACGAAUCUCAGUAUUCAGAACCAGUUCAGCAAGAGGUUUAGGUUCAAAUCAGGAGUGAGGGCAAAGUCUGGCUCAUGGUGGAACCUUAGAAAAGUCCCCAGGCAUCAUGUGAGGCCAUGUGCCAUGAAGCCCAAUUGCAGGACAGAAAAGGAUGCCCUUCUACCCACAUAGCUGGCCAGGCCCAACUCUGCCAAGAACACCCAUUCUGGUUCCAAGAUAACAAAAACAAGUCCUAGGUCACACCACCCACAGUGGUGAGAGCCCAAGGGCUGAAGUAAGCAAAGGCCAGGCCCCCAUAACUGAGCCCAUAGCCAUUUUCCCCACUGGGCAGAGUAAAAGCUAAAGAAGCCCUGGCGUGAAGGUCAGGAAGCUGUAGAGGGGUAUAGAAACAACAAAGACCCAAAGAGCUCAUCUGUACUACAUAUGUACUAUUGCAUCUACUUUAAUAAAUGCCUACCAUAAAUGCUGCAAGCUGACUUCAUCAGCAAGUAUGGACCAAGCAGGGUAAGGAGGCUGGGAAUUGAGGUUCCAGCUCUACUAUAGGUUUUCUGAGUGGCUGGGACACCUCCAUUUCUCUCACUGGGCCUGAUCCGCAAAAUGAGACAUGAGGUGAGAUUAACACUACGCUCUCCCCUUAACAACCUCAGGCUCUCUGAUACUGUCCACUGCAACACGGAUCUCAAACACCGGUUUACCCCACACCCAAAUAUGGUGGUUACUUCUAGACUCUGACCAUUUUGCCUGCCUAGUUCUCAGCUCUCCUAUAAGAAGACAGCCAUGCCUGACUUCUGUUGUGAAAGGGAACACAGAGGGCAUCGUCAUGGGGAUUCUGAAAAUGGGUCCAGUUUUGGCCAGGGGGACCCCUGGAGCUUGCCUAUUAGGCUCACAGCUAAAAGCAUCUUAGCAACUAAGACAGCCGGUCUUUAUAACCUGGGUGAAAUUUGUAUCUAUUUCCCAGAUGGACAAGAGCCUAGAAGAUCCCAGCCUUGCCACUGGAUAUGAGCACAGGACAGGGGGAUGCUCAAUGCUAAGGCUGCCACAGAAAAUACAGGACGUCCGGUUAAAUUUGAAUUUCAAAUAAACAAGUAAUUUUUAAAGUAUAA